UGCUAAUUGGCAUCGCAGCGUAAAAGAAAGAGAAGGGCACGGCGCCGCGGCGCCAGUGCAGGGCAUUACCCAGAAAUGAGAUUAUAACUGCUCAAUUUCUCGGGGGAUGUGCAAGAAAGAAAUAUGAAUAUGUAAUUCAACUAAUGUAACACUUAAUUAAGUGUAUUAAAUCUUUGAUGAAAGUUGAACGAAAAGAUUAAACGAGAAUUAAAGAUACAAAAUGUAGACGUGGGUUACAGAACAAAUAUUCGGGGACCGUAGUCGCAAUAAACGAACGUGAGGAGUUGCUAUGAUUAUGAUUCCAUAGACGUUGAGUGACAAGGGUAAUGAAUAAUAUUUCGAUGUUAUGUCAUGGUAAUGAGAGAUGAAUGUAAAGUGUUUAGACGAACGUGAGGGGUUGCUAUG
rnacentral:lncRNA from 1 species